AUGGUUUUGUUCAUUUCCAUCACCUGUUUGUAUGUUUUUUCCUCUUUUUCUGUAAGGACUUCUACCUGUUUGAUUGUGUUUUCCUGUUUUUCUUUAAGGACUUGUAACUCUUUAGCAGUGUUCUCCUGUAUUUCUUUAAGUGAUUUAUUAAAGUCCUUCUUGAUGUCCUCUACCAUCAUCAUGAGAUAUGCUUUUAAAUCUAGGUCUAGGUUCUCAGGACUGAGAGGCACAUAAACUCCAACAGAAGGCUGAAUGAUUUCACCGAGGUGGAAGAUCCCCCACAGAAAUCUGCAUGUUUCUCCAGAGUGAAAAGAAACUGAGAAAGACAGGGAAAGGAGUUUCUGCAAAGGUAAAGGUUUUGUGGAGGAAAAUCCCUUUAAGUAGAAGAAAUCCUUGAAAAUCAAACUUCAAUGUUAGCCUGAAAGAAGUUUGUCUUAGGCGCAUUGUUUAAGCAAAUACAAAAUGGCUGAAAUGAUUCUCAAUUAGCUACAUAUUUGUCCCACUUAAAACUGAAAUUAGAGAAAAAGCAAAAAAAAAAAAAAAAAAAAA
rnacentral:lncRNA from 1 species